UNGGGUUCUCUAGGCUGCGACAGAGAUGC
rnacentral:piRNA from 1 species